AUUCUAAUUUCUCCAUGUCUUU
rnacentral:miRNA from 1 species